UGCAAUCAAAAUGCAAAUGUAUGUAUAUAAUAAUCUCGAGUCAUAAAAAAACAAACCGAUAGGUUAACUACUCGUCAAUGACUCUCAACUUUCCUUACUCUUGCGACAGCUUGACAUCGUAUUUAGCUACGUUCAAUAUUUCAAUAAAUAAAACAAUAUCAGUUUACACCCAAUUCACAUCUAAAUACAUACAUACCCACUCAUAUUUUUACAUUUUAUUCAAUUUAGUCCCUAUACUCAAAUUAUGCAUAUUUUUCGAUAAAUAGCAUCAAAUCAAAAUAUGAUUUCACAUUCUUUCAUUAGGGACUCUAUACUUUCUAUUUACAACAUAAUCUCAUGAUAGUUUUCAAUUUAUUCAAUUUAGUCCCUAAUGUUUCAAAAUUAUCUAAUAAGCUUAAUUAGCUUUACAAUUUAGUCCUUAUCAUGAUUUAAGCUUAUUAACUAUCAAAUCCAAUCCCAAUUCAUCAAUGUCUCUAUAACGACAACUUGCAAAAAGCUUAAAAAUUCAAUAAAUUGAUACAUGGGCUAGCUAAAUCAAACUCUCAUGAUCAUAAAUCUAUAAAAAAUUGAUGAAAAUAACUUGAUUACCUUGGUAAUUUUGGUAUGGUCGAAUGAAUGAAAAACUUUGAGUUUUUUCUUCUUUUAUUUCUUUCUUCAUCUUCAACCUUCAAUCAGGUCAAUCCAACCCAGUUUAGACCCAAUUUUAUUAAUCAACCAUCUCCCAAUAUAUACACAAAAAAUUUAAAACAUCAAGACAUAAAUAAAAAUGGCUCUCAUAUCAAUUGUUAGAAAAUCUAUAAAAAUAUUAGAUACCUCUAAUAUUUUAUAUAAAAUAUAAACAUACUCAUAUAUAUUAAAACAUGAAAAAUUAACUAAAAGUGGAAUAUAAAGUUAAUCUCUAGUCAUCGAUGUUUAUUUUAUGUACUCUUAACGACUCACUUUGAUGGUAUAUGUUUUUACGAAUUGCUAAGCAUAGGGACCUUUUCAUAGCUUUUAUAUAUAUGGGCAUGUAUAUGCACAUUUUCUCAUAACAAAACGUAUUGUAUUCAUACAUUUUAUGCUUAUUUUAAGUGAAGCAUUAACAUCUUCAAUAAAUACAUGAGUUAUUGAAUAAACUUAAGCAUGAUAUGUUAAUUUUGGUUACACCAUACCAUCAUUAAUAAUGUUUUUUUAUUAACAUAACUUAAAUAAAAAAUAAGGGUAACAUUUGAGAGUUUUAUAUAUACUUAACACUUAAAAAGAAGAAAAAAAACUUACAGCUUUUGGUAAAUUUUGGGGAGUUAUGGACUUAGGUACGGCAGCGGCCAACAAUUACAGCGACGUUUAUGGUGGAUUUUCUGAUAGUUGUUCUUUAUGUAUGAACAGUAGAGACAUGAAAGAGAUGAAGAGAGAAACAAAUGGUGCUACCUCAAUUAUGGUGGUUGACCAGAAACUGAAAAAAAAUAAGUUAUAAUUUAUGGGUUUAGGAGCAAUAGACAUUCAAAUAAAAAUAAAAAAGGAGAUGGACAUGAAAAAGAGAGAAGGGUACAUGAGAGAAUGGAGAGGGAAAACAAAAUGGAUGAUUGUAUAAUCAUGAUUUAAUAAUAUUAAUUUAUACAAUAAUAUUAAUUAUAAAAAUUAAAUAAUUAAUAAUUAUAUAUAUUUUUUAAAAAUUUAAACUGUUCUUAUAAAUUAUUUUAAAAAAAAAUUACAUCUAAUUAUUGUUCUUUUAAAAAUAACAUUUUUAUUAGCUUUAAGAAAUUAUAUAAAUUAAUAUUAUUUGUUUUGUUCCAAGGGUUAAAAAAAUAAUUUAUAAUUAUUACUGAACUAUUCCGUAACACGUAUCAAUCAAACAAUAAUUUAUUAUUCUUUAUCUUACUAAACAUAGUAUUACCUAUUACUUCUC
rnacentral:lncRNA from 1 species